rnacentral:rRNA from 1 species
GACGAACGCUGGCGGCGUGCUUAACACAUGCAAGUCGAACGGAAAGGCCCUGCUUUUGUGGGGUGCUCGAGUGGCGAACGGGUGAGUAACACGUGAGUAACCUGCCCUUGACUUUGGGAUAACUUCAGGAAACUGGUGCUAAUACCGGAUAGGAGCUCCUGCUGCAUGGUGGGGGUUGGAAAGUUUCGGCGGUUUGGGAUGGACUCGCGGCUUAUCAGCUUGUUGGUGGGGUAGUGGCUUACCAAGGCUUUGACGGGUAGCCCGCCUGAGAGGGUAACCGGCCACAUUGGGACUGAGGUACGGCCCAGACUCGUACGGGAGGCAGCAGUGGGGAAUAUUGCACAGUGGGCGCAAGCCUGAUGCAGCAACGCCGCGUGCGUGAUGACGGCCUACGGGUGGUAAACCGCUUUCGCCUGUGACGAAGCGUGAUUGACGGUAAUGAGUAAAGAAGCACCGGCUAACUACGUG